UUGCUACCCGCUGACGAGCGGCGGACGGGUGAGUAAUGCAUAGGAAUCUGCCCGAUAGUGGGGGAUAACCUGGGGAAACCCAGGCUAAUACCGCAUACGUCCUACGGGAGAAAGGGGGCUCCGGCUCCCGCUAUUGGAUGAGCCUAUGUCGGAUUAGCUAGUUGGUGAGGUAAAGGCUCACCAAGGCGACGAUCCGUAGCUGGUCUGAGAGGAUGAUCAGCCACAUCGGGACUGAGACACGGCCCGAACUCCUACGGGAGGCAGCAGUGGGGAAUAUUGGACAAUGGGCGAAAGCCUGAUCCAGCCAUGCCGCGUGUGUGAAGAAGGCCCUCGGGUUGUAAAGCACUUUCAGCGAGGAAGAACGCCUAGUGGUUAAUACCCAUUAGGAAAGACAUCACUCGCAGGAGAAGCACCGGCUAACUCCGUGCCAGCAGCCGCGGUAAUACGGAGGGUGCAAGCGUUAAUCGGAAUUACUGGGCGUAAAGCGCGCGUAGGUGGCU
rnacentral:rRNA from 1 species